UAGCCAAGAAUGACUUGCCUA
rnacentral:miRNA from 5 species